rnacentral:rRNA from 1 species
AGAGUUUGAUCCUGGCUCAGAUUGAACGCUGGCGGCAGGCCUAACACAUGCAAGUCGAACGGUAACAGGAAGAAGCUUGCUUCUUUGCUGACGAGUGGCGGACGGGUGAGUAAUGUCUGGGAAACUGCCUGAUGGAGGGGGAUAACUACUGGAAACGGUAGCUAAUACCGCAUAACGUCGCAAGACCAAAGAGGGGGACCUUCGGGCCUCUUGCCAUCGGAUGUGCCCAGAUGGGAUUAGCUUGUUGGUGGGGUAACGGCUCACCAAGGCGACGAUCCCUAGCUGGUCUGAGAGGAUGACCAGCCACACUGGAACUGAGACACGGUCCAGACUCCUACGGGAGGCAGCAGUGGGGAAUAUUGCACAAUGGGCGCAAGCCUGAUGCAGCCAUGCCGCGUGUAUGAAGAAGGCCUUCGGGUUGUAAAGUACUUUCAGCGGGGAGGAAGGGAGUAAAGUUAAUACCUUUGCUCAUUGACGUUACCCGCAGAAGAAGCACCGGCUAACUCCGUGCCAGCAGCCGCGGUAAUACGGAGGGUGCAAGCGUUAAUCGGAAUUACUGGGCGUAAAGCGCACGCAGGCGGUUUGUUAAGUCAGAUGUGAAAUCCCCGGGCUCAACCUGGGAACUGCAUCUGAUACUGGCAAGCUUGAGUCUCGUAGAGGGGGGUAGAAUUCCAGGUGUAGCGGUGAAAUGCGUAGAGAUCUGGAGGAAUACCGGUGGCGAAGGCGGCCCCCUGGACGAAGACUGACGCUCAGGUGCGAAAGCGUGGGGAGCAAACAGGAUUAGAUACCCUGGUAGUCCACGCCGUAAACGAUGUCGACUUGGAGGUUGUGCCCUUGAGGCGUGGCUUCCGGAGCUAACGCGUUAAGUCGACCGCCUGGGGAGUACGGCCGCAAGGUUAAAACUCAAAUGAAUUGACGGGGGCCCGCACAAGCGGUGGAGCAUGUGGUUUAAUUCGAUGCAACGCGAAGAACCUUACCUGGUCUUGACAUCCACGGAAGUUUUCAGAGAUGAGAAUGUGCCUUCGGGAACCGUGAGACAGGUGCUGCAUGGCUGUCGUCAGCUCGUGUUGUGAAAUGUUGGGUUAAGUCCCGCAACGAGCGCAACCCUUAUCCUUUGUUGCCAGCGGUCCGGCCGGGAACUCAAAGGAGACUGCCAGUGAUAAACUGGGGGAAGGUGGGGAUGACGUCAAGUCAUCAUGACCCUUACGACCAGGGCUACACACGUGCUACAAUGGCGCAUACAAAGAGAAGCGACCUCGCGAGAGCAAGCGGACCUCAUAAAGUGCGUCGUAGUCCGGAUUGGAGUCUGCAACUCGACUCCAUGAAGUCGGAAUCGCUAGUAAUCGUGGAUCAGAAUGCCACGGUGAAUACGUUCCCGGGCCUUGCACACACCGCCCGUCA